AAAAACAUUUCUAUUAGAAAUUAUUAAUAGUAAAAUCUGCUCAAUGAUAAAUUCAAUAGCCGCAUUUGUGCUAAGGUAGCAUAAUCAUUUGUCUUUUAAUUGAAGACUAGAACAAAAGAUUUAACUUUUAAAUUAAUAUUUUAAAUUUAUAAUUUUAAAUUAUCUUAAAUGUAAAAAGACAUUUAUAAUUAAGAAAGACGAUAAGACCCUAUUGAACUUUACUUUAGUUUAACUGGGGUAGUUAAUUAAUUAUUAUUUUAAUAAAAAUAAUUUUAAAAUUCGACCUAAUUUAAUUAAUUAAAUAAUUAAGUUACCAUAGGGAUAACAGCGUAAUUAAAUUUUUUAGAUCUUAUUUGAAAUUUAGAUUGCGACCUCGAUGUUGAUUUAAUUUCCUAAUUUACGCAAUAGUUUAUUAAGGAAGUCUGUUCGACUUUUAAAAAAUUACAUGAUUUGAGUUCAGACCGGUGUAAACCAGGUCGGUUUCUAUCUUCUAAAUAAUUUAUUUUUACAGUACGAAAGGACCUAAAAAAAUAAAUUCAUU
rnacentral:rRNA from 1 species